CCGAGAGACUGAGGUCUAACCGGCCUCAACUCUUCAUCCGUGCCUACAUAACUAAGUUGCUUUGGCUGAUGGGCAAUCUGCCCUAAAGUCAGUCAGAGACUCACCUAAAUUCUUUUAUCAGUGAAGUCGGAGUAAUCAUUUAAUAAUUAAAACUUUCAACAACGGAUCUCUUGGUUCUGGCAUCGAUGAAGAACGCAGCGAAAUGCGAUAAGUAAUGUGAAUUGCAGAAUUCCGUGAAUCAUCGAAUCUUUGAACGCACAUUGCGCCCUUUGGUAUUCCGAAGGGCAUGCCUGUUCGAGCGUCAUUACAACCCUCAAGCACAGCUUGGUAUUGGCUUUCGUCCCUGAGACGUAGCCGAAAUUCCGUGGCGGUCCAGCGAGACUUCAAGCGAUCAAGAUUUUACAUCCCGCUUUGCAAGCACCUCGUAGAGCCAGUCAGUCAAAUACAUUUUUUCGGUUGACCUCGGAUCAGGUAGGGAUACCCGCUGAACUUAA
rnacentral:rRNA from 1 species